rnacentral:rRNA from 1 species
CUGCUGCCUCCCGUAGGAGUCUGGUCCGUGUCUCAGUACCAGUGUGGGGGACCUUCCUCUCAGAACCCCUACGCAUCGUCGCCNCGGUGGGCCGUCCNCCCGC